UACGUAGGGCGCAAGCGUUGUUCGGAAUUAUUGGGCGUAAAGAGCUCGUAGGCGGUCUGUCGCGUCGGCUGUGAAAUCCCGGAGCUCAACUCCGGGUCUGCAGUCGAUACGGGCAGACUGGAGUUCGGCAGGGGAGACUGGAAUUCCUGGUGUAGCGGUGAAAUGCGCAGAUAUCAGGAGGAACACCGGUGGCGAAGGCGGGUCUCUGGGCCGAUACUGACGCUGAGGAGCGAAAGCGUGGGGAGCGAACAGG
rnacentral:rRNA from 1 species